rnacentral:rRNA from 1 species
ACGCUCGACACCUACGGGAGGCAGCAGUGGGGAAUAUUGCACAAUGGGGGAAACCCUGAUGCAGCGACGCCGCGUGAAGGAAGAAGUAUCUCGGUAUGUAAACUUCUAUCAGCAGGGAAGAAAGUGACGGUACCUGACUAAGAAGCCCCGGCUAACUACGUACCAGCAGCCGCGGUAAUCUGAGCGGGCUGGCAAGGC